rnacentral:rRNA from 1 species
UACGAAGGGGCUAGCGUUGCUCGGAAUCACUGGGCGUAAAGCGCACGUAGGCGGAUUGUUAAGUCAGGGGUGAAAUCCUGGAGCUCAACUCCAGAACUGCCUUUGAUACUGAGGAUCUUGAGUACGGGAGAGGUGAGUGGAACUGCGAGUGUAGAGGUGAAAUUCGUAGAUAUUCGCAAGAACACCAGUGGCGAAGGCGGCUCACUGGCCCGUAACUGACGCUGAGG